ensembl:misc_RNA Metazoa_SRP Metazoan signal recognition particle RNA
GCCGGGCGUGGUGGCGGGCGCCUGUAAUCCCGGCUAUUCGGGAGGCUGAGGCAGGAGAAUCGCUUGAACCCAGGAGGUGCAGGUUGCAGUGAGCCGAGAUUGUGCCACUGCACCCCAGCCUGGGUGACAAAGCGAGACUCCAUCUCAA